rnacentral:rRNA from 1 species
GGGUUGUGAGGUUAAGCGACUAAGCGUACACGGUGGAUGCCCUGGCAGUCAGAGGCGAUGAAGGACGUGCUAAUCUGCGAAAAGCGUCGGUAAGGUGAUAUGAACCGUUAUAACCGGCGAUGUCCGAAUGGGGAAACCCAGUGCAAUUCGUUGCACUAUCGUUAACUGAAUACAUAGGUUAACGAGGCGAACCGGGGGAACUGAAACAUCUAAGUACCCCGAGGAAAAGAAAUCAACCGAGAUUCCCCCAGUAGCGGCGAGCGAACGGGGAGCAGCCCAGAGUCUGAAUCAGCUUGUGUGUUAGUGGAACGGUCUGGAAAGUCCGACGGUACAGGGUGAUAGUCCCGUACACCAAAAUGCACAGGCUGUGAACUCGAAGAGUAGGGCGGGACACGUGGUAUCCUGUCUGAAUAUGGGGGGACCAUCCUCCAAGGCUAAAUACUCCUGACUGACCGAUAGUGAACCAGUACCGUGAGGGAAAGGCGAAAAGAACCCCGGCGAGGGGAGUGAAAAAGAACCUGAAACCGUGUACGUACAAGCAGUGGGAGCACCUUUAUGGUGUGACUGCGUACCUUUUGUAUAAUGGGUCAGCGACUUAUAUUCUGUAGCAAGGUUAACCGUAUAGGGGAGCCGCAGGGAAACCGAGUCUUAACUGGGCGUUAAGUUGCAGGGUAUAGACCCGAAACCCGGUGAUCUAGCCAUGGGCAGGUUGAAGGUUGGGUAACACUAACUGGAGGACCGAACCGACUAAUGUUGAAAAAUUAGCGGAUGACUUGUGGCUGGGGGUGAAAGGCCAAUCAAACCGGGAGAUAGCUGGUUCUCCCCGAAAGCUAUUUAGGUAGCGCCUCGUGAACUCAUCUUCGGGGGUAGAGCACUGUUUCGGCUAGGGGGUCAUCCCGACUUACCAACCCGAUGCAAACUACGAAUACCGAAGAAUGUUAUCACGGGAGACACACGGCGGGUGCUAACGUCCGUCGUGAAGAGGGAAACAACCCAGACCGCCAGCUAAGGUCCCAAAGUCAUGGUUAAGUGGGAAACGAUGUGGGAAGGCACAGACAGCCAGGAUGUUGGCUUAGAAGCAGCCAUCAUUUAAAGAAAGCGUAAUAGCUCACUGGUCGAGUCGGCCUGCGCGGAAGAUGUAACGGGGCUAAACCAUGCACCGAAGCUGCGGCAGCGACACUAUGUGUUGUUGGGUAGGGGAGCGUUCUGUAAGCCUGCGAAGGUGUGCUGUGAGGCAUGCUGGAGGUAUCAGAAGUGCGAAUGCUGACAUAAGUAACGAUAAAGCGGGUGAAAAGCCCGCUCGCCGGAAGACCAAGGGUUCCUGUCCAACGUUAAUCGGGGCAGGGUGAGUCGACCCCUAAGGCGAGGCCGAAAGGCGUAGUCGAUGGGAAACAGGUUAAUAUUCCUGUACUUGGUGUUACUGCGAAGGGGGGACGGAGAAGGCUAUGUUAGCCGGGCGACGGUUGUCCCGGUUUAAGCAUGUAGGCUGGUUAUCCAGGCAAAUCCGGAUAAUCAAGGCUGAGGUGUGAUGACGAGGCACUACGGUGCUGAAGUAACAAAUGCCCUGCUUCCAGGAAAAGCCUCUAAGCAUCAGGUAACAUCAAAUCGUACCCCAAACCGACACAGGUGGUCAGGUAGAGAAUACCAAGGCGCUUGAGAGAACUCGGGUGAAGGAACUAGGCAAAAUGGUGCCGUAACUUCGGGAGAAGGCACGCUGGUGUGUAGGUGAAGUCCCUGCGGAUGGAGCUGAGACCAGUCGAAGAUACCAGCUGGCUGCAACUGUUUAUUAAAAACACAGCACUGUGCAAACACGAAAGUGGACGUAUACGGUGUGACGCCUGCCCGGUGCCGGAAGGUUAAUUGAUGGGGUUAUCCGUAAGGAGAAGCUCUUGAUCGAAGCCCCGGUAAACGGCGGCCGUAACUAUAACGGUCCUAAGGUAGCGAAAUUCCUUGUCGGGUAAGUUCCGACCUGCACGAAUGGCGUAAUGAUGGCCAGGCUGUCUCCACCCGAGACUCAGUGAAAUUGAACUCGCUGUGAAGAUGCAGUGUACCCGCGGCAAGACGGAAAGACCCCGUGAACCUUUACUAUAGCUUGACACUGAACAUUGAGCCUUGAUGUGUAGGAUAGGUGGGAGGCUUUGAAGCGUGGACGCCAGUCUGCGUGGAGCCAACCUUGAAAUACCACCCUUUAAUGUUUGAUGUUCUAACGUUGGCCCCUUACCGGGGUUGCGGACAGUGUCUGGUGGGUAGUUUGACUGGGGCGGUCUCCUCCCAAAGCGUAACGGAGGAGCACGAAGGUUAGCUAAUCCUGGUCGGACAUCAGGAGGUUAGUGCAAUGGCAUAAGCUAGCUUGACUGCGAGCGUGACGGCGCGAGCAGGUGCGAAAGCAGGUCAUAGUGAUCCGGUGGUUCUGAAUGGAAGGGCCAUCGCUCAACGGAUAAAAGGUACUCCGGGGAUAACAGGCUGAUACCGCCCAAGAGUUCAUAUCGACGGCGGUGUUUGGCACCUCGAUGUCGGCUCAUCACAUCCUGGGGCUGAAGUAGGUCCCAAGGGUAUGGCUGUUCGCCAUUUAAAGUGGUACGCGAGCUGGGUUUAGAACGUCGUGAGACAGUUCGGUCCCUAUCUGCCGUGGGCGCUGGAGAAUUGAGGGGGGCUGCUCCUAGUACGAGAGGACCGGAGUGGACGCAUCACUGGUGUUCGGGUUGUCAUGCCAAUGGCACUGCCCGGUAGCUAAAUGCGGAAGAGAUAAGUGCUGAAAGCAUCUAAGCACGAAACUUGCCCCGAGAUGAGUUCUCCCUGAGACUUUAAGUCUCCUGAAGGAACGUUAAAGACGAUGACGUUGAUAGGCCGGGUGUGUAAGCGCAGCGAUGCGUUGAGCUAACCGGUACUAAUGAACCGUGAGGCUUAACCUUACAACGCCGAAG